AGAUCGAUGUGAGCUCGACAGGGUAAAAUCCGGAAUGGGGAGUUUGGCUGGGGCGGCACAUCUGUUAAAUGAUAACACAGGUGUCCUAAGGUGAGCUCAAUGAGAACAGAAAUCUCAUGUAGAACAAAAGGGUAAAAGCUCACUUGAUUUUGAUUUUCAGUAUGAAUACAAACCGUGAAAGCGUGGCCUAUCGAUCCUUUAGUUCUUUAGAAUUUUAAGCUAGAGGUGUCAGAAAAGUUACCACAGGGAUAACUGGCUUGUGGCAGCCAAGCGUCCAUAGCGACGUUGCUUUUUGAUUCUUCGAUGUCGGCUCUUCCUAUCAUUGCGAAGUAGAACUCGCCAAUUGUUGGAUUGUUCACCCACUAAUAGGGAACGUGAGCUGGGUUUAGACCGUCGUGAGACAGGUUAGUU
rnacentral:ncRNA from 1 species